GGUUAAGCGACUAAGCGUACACGGUGGAUGCCCUGGCAGUCAGAGGCGAUGAAGGACGUGCUAAUCUGCGAUAAGCGUCGGUAAGGUGAUAUGAACCGUUAUAACCGGCGAUUUCCGAAUGGGGAAACCCAGUGUGAUUCGUCACACUAUCAUUAACUGAAUCCAUAGGUUAAUGAGGCGAACCGGGGGAACUGAAACAUCUAAGUACCCCGAGGAAAAGAAAUCAACCGAGAUUCCCCCAGUAGCGGCGAGCGAACGGGGAGCAGCCCAGAGCCUGAAUCAGUGUGUGUGUUAGUGGAAGCGUCUGGAAAGGCGCGCGAUACAGGGUGACAGCCCCGUACACAAAAAUGCACAUACUGUGAGCUCGAUGAGUAGGGCGGGACACGUGGUAUCCUGUCUGAAUAUGGGGGGACCAUCCUCCAAGGCUAAAUACUCCUGACUGACCGAUAGUGAACCAGUACCGUGAGGGAAAGGCGAAAAGAACCCCGGCGAGGGGAGUGAAAAAGAACCUGAAACCGUGUACGUACAAGCAGUGGGAGCCUCUUUAUGGGGUGACUGCGUACCUUUUGUAUAAUGGGUCAGCGACUUAUAUUCUGUAGCAAGGUUAACCGAAUAGGGGAGCCGAAGGGAAACCGAGUCUUAACUGGGCGUUAAGUUGCAGGGUAUAGACCCGAAACCCGGUGAUCUAGCCAUGGGCAGGUUGAAGGUUGGGUAACACUAACUGGAGGACCGAACCGACUAAUGUUGAAAAAUUAGCGGAUGACUUGUGGCUGGGGGUGAAAGGCCAAUCAAACCGGGAGAUAGCUGGUUCUCCCCGAAAGCUAUUUAGGUAGCGCCUCGUGAAUUCAUCUCCGGGGGUAGAGCACUGUUUCGGCAAGGGGGUCAUCCCGACUUACCAACCCGAUGCAAACUGCGAAUACCGGAGAAUGUUAUCACGGGAGACACACGGCGGGUGCUAACGUCCGUCGUGAAGAGGGAAACAACCCAGACCGCCAGCUAAGGUCCCAAAGUCAUGGUUAAGUGGGAAACGAUGUGGGAAGGCCCAGACAGCCAGGAUGUUGGCUUAGAAGCAGCCAUCAUUUAAAGAAAGCGUAAUAGCUCACUGGUCGAGUCGGCCUGCGCGGAAGAUGUAACGGGGCUAAACCAUGCACCGAAGCUGCGGCAGCGACACUAUGUGUUGUUGGGUAGGGGAGCGUUCUGUAAGCCUGUGAAGGUGUGCUGUGAGGCAUGCUGGAGGUAUCAGAAGUGCGAAUGCUGACAUAAGUAACGAUAAAGCGGGUGAAAAGCCCGCUCGCCGGAAGACCAAGGGUUCCUGUCCAACGUUAAUCGGGGCAGGGUGAGUCGACCCCUAAGGCGAGGCCGAAAGGCGUAGUCGAUGGGAAACAGGUUAAUAUUCCUGUACUUGGUGUUACUGCGAAGGGGGGACGGAGAAGGCUAUGUUGGCCGGGCGACGGUUGUCCCGGUUUAAGCGUGUAGGCUGGUUUUCCAGGCAAAUCCGGAAAAUCAAGGCUGAGGCGUGAUGACGAGGCACUACGGUGCUGAAGCAACAAAUGCCCUGCUUCCAGGAAAAGCCUCUAAGCAUCAGGUAACAUCAAAUCGUACCCCAAACCGACACAGGUGGUCAGGUAGAGAAUACCAAGGCGCUUGAGAGAACUCGGGUGAAGGAACUAGGCAAAAUGGUGCCGUAACUUCGGGAGAAGGCACGCUGAUAUGUAGGUGAAGUCCCUUGCGGAUGGAGCUGAAAUCAGUCGAAGAUACCAGCUGGCUGCAACUGUUUAUUAAAAACACAGCACUGUGCAAACACGAAAGUGGACGUAUACGGUGUGACGCCUGCCCGGUGCCGGAAGGUUAAUUGAUGGGGUUAGCGGUAACGCGAAGCUCUUGAUCGAAGCCCCGGUAAACGGCGGCCGUAACUAUAACGGUCCUAAGGUAGCGAAAUUCCUUGUCGGGUAAGUUCCGACCUGCACGAAUGGCGUAAUGAUGGCCAGGCUGUCUCCACCCGAGACUCAGUGAAAUUGAACUCGCUGUGAAGAUGCAGUGUACCCGCGGCAAGACGGAAAGACCCCGUGAACCUUUACUAUAGCUUGACACUGAACAUUGAGCCUUGAUGUGUAGGAUAGGUGGGAGGCUUUGAAGUGUGGACGCCAGUCUGCAUGGAGCCGACCUUGAAAUACCACCCUUUAAUGUUUGAUGUUCUAACGUUGGCCCCUGAUCGGGGUUGCGGACAGUGUCUGGUGGGUAGUUUGACUGGGGCGGUCUCCUCCUAAAGAGUAACGGAGGAGCACGAAGGUUGGCUAAUCCUGGUCGGACAUCAGGAGGUUAGUGCAAUGGCAUAAGCCAGCUUGACUGCGAGCGUGACGGCGCGAGCAGGUGCGAAAGCAGGUCAUAGUGAUCCGGUGGUUCUGAAUGGAAGGGCCAUCGCUCAACGGAUAAAAGGUACUCCGGGGAUAACAGGCUGAUACCGCCCAAGAGUUCAUAUCGACGGCGGUGUUUGGCACCUCGAUGUCGGCUCAUCACAUCCUGGGGCUGAAGUAGGUCCCAAGGGUAUGGCUGUUCGCCAUUUAAAGUGGUACGCGAGCUGGGUUUAGAACGUCGUGAGACAGUUCGGUCCCUAUCUGCCGUGGGCGCUGGAGAACUGAGGGGGGCUGCUCCUAGUACGAGAGGACCGGAGUGGACGCAUCACUGGUGUUCGGGUUGUCAUGCCAAUGGCACUGCCCGGUAGCUAAAUGCGGAAGAGAUAAGUGCUGAAAGCAUCUAAGCACGAAACUUGCCCCGAGAUGAGUUCUCCCUGACUCCUUGAGAGUCCUGAAGGAACGUUGAAGACGACGACGUUGAUAGGCCGGGUGUGUAAGCGCAGCGAUGCGUUGAGCUAACCGGUACUAAUGAACCGUGAGGCUUAACCUU
rnacentral:rRNA from 1 species